GAGGUGAAUAACUCUUAAUGAGCAAGCUGAACAUGUCAGUAGGUGAAAGAUACUUUCCACAGUAUUGGUCUGAAGCUGGCUUUUUAAGCUGAUGAAGGAUGCCCUCCAUGUACUCUGAUAAUGACUCUGUGGUGCUUCUUCCAAAACAAAAGGUCUUUGGUGGAGAAUGGGUUAGGGCAAAAUCAUAGUGAGUGAUUACUCCCAGACAGCGGCUGAAGGCAGGAUGUUAAAGAUGCCCUAUGGUGAGCAAGAAUAAUAAGCAUUUGAAUAAACAUGAAAAGAAUGUCUAAGGACACUCCUACUUGGUAUGGAGGUAAGUCUGCAGGAGAUGGCAUGAUACCCUUGCAGAGAGUCAUAGGAAUAGAGUGAGGAAGAAGACUUCUGUGUGACAGCAGCCUUUCUUGUUCCCCAUGAUCAGAACAUACUUCUGAACCAACCCUGAGAGGAAGAGCUGAAUUGGGAAGAGUGUUGCCUAUAUCUACACCAUAGGACAUAUCUAGAUGAUGUAUGGAAAUUUUAGCCAAAGCAUUGGAAGUUUAUUUCAAUUUCUGAAUUAUUGUUGUCAUGCGAAUAAGAUGAAUUUUUGGGGUGACUUUGUCUGUUUUUAGCUCUUUAUUUCAUAUCACAGAGGCACCGUCGUUGUAAAAUAAAAAACAGCAGGCUAUGGCUAUAGAUUGGUAUGGCAAAGGAAGGAUUAAAAUGAGUCGAAUAGAGCUCCAGUGUUUCUUUCAUGGGAGUUCACUGAUAGUGUCCACAGUGAGAAGAAACCCUGGCACAGGCAUGGAGGUGCAUAGAUAGGGCUUACAUUCAGUUGUCCUGGGCAUUCAGUUUUGAGUAAGAUUUGGUGGGACUGACCAAAUUAUUGAUGUUCUACAUCUGUUCUAUAGAGUCCCUUUGUUCUAAGGAGUUCUUCUGGGGGCACUCUGAGGGCGAAGAUGAUGGACAAGCCAAGUGGGUAGAGAUCCAGACCCUCCAUCUUCCUCCAUCCCACCCCUGACUUCUCCAUUCAACCACAGAACCUUUCCCUCCUUUUAGAAAAAA
rnacentral:lncRNA from 1 species